AUGGCUGGAAUAAUGGUGAGCGCUUCAACUGGGGUGAUGAACUCUCUCCUGGGUAAGCUGGCAACCCUGAUGGGGGAGGAGUUCGCCAAGCUAAAGAACUUGAGGAAGGAGGUUAAGUACAUCAGCGAUGAGCUCAGCAGCAUGAAGGAUGCUCUAGAGCGUCUUGCAGAUGUGGACGAGCUCGAUAUACAGACCGCGAGGUGGAGGGAUGCGGUCAGGGAGAUGUCUUACGACAUCGAAGACAUUAUUGAUGACUUCAUGUGCAACAUUGGGGUGAAAAGCAAAAAAUCUGGGUUUGUCCACGACACCAUUCAGCGCCUCAGAACUUCAAGGGCCCGCCAUCAGAUUGCUGGCCAGAUUGAGGACAUCAAGAAGCUUGUGCGUGAAACAAGUGAACGGCGUGACAGAUACAAGGUCGAUCUCCCCACAUCAGGCAAUGUGGAAGUUGACCAACGAGUUGUCGCACUCUAUGCAAGUGCAGAUAAACUUGUUGGUAUGGAGGGCCUAACCAAUGAGCUUGUCAGUUGGCUGAAAGACGGUGAGAAGAAGAUGAAGGUUGUAUCGAUUGUUGGUUUUGGAGUGUCUCAAAAGCCAAAUAUUUUGAAACUUCUGGAUAGUUUAUUAACCCAACUUGGGUGUGGACAACCUUUUCAUGAUUGUGAGCUAAAUGUUCUUCUUGACCAACUCAGAGAAAAUCUAAAAAACAAGAGUUACUUGGUUAUCAUCGAUCAUCUAUGGGAUGUAUCAGCAUGGAAUAUUAUUAGAUGUGCUUUCCCAGAAAAUAGUCUUGGUAGUAGAUUAAUAGUAACUACAAGAAUCAAGACUGUGGCUGAGGCAUGUCGUUUCGGUCACCAUGAGCACAUUCUUGAAAUGAAACCUCUUAAUGAAGAAGACUCAAGGAAAUUGUUUUUUGGUAGGAUAUUUGGCUCUGAAGAAGCUUGUCCUGGUCAACUCAGAGAUGUUUCAGUUGAGAUUCUCAAGAAAUGUGGUGGUUUGCCACUUGCAAUCAUCAGCAUAUCCAACCUAUCAGCAAGUGGAAGUUCUGACCAAAAGGAGAGGUGGAAACAUGUACUGAAUUCUUUGGGGUCAGUGUCAGGCACAAACCUCACCUUGGAAGCAAUGAGACAGGUCUUGAACCUUAGCUACAAGAAUCUUCCUCACCACCUCAAGACAUGCUUCUUGUAUCUUGGUAUGUUUCUAGAGGACUCUGAAAUAUAUAGGCACGAGUUGGUAAGACUAUGGGUGUCUGAAGGUUUCAUUAGCAAAGCACGUGGACAAAGGCCAGAACAGACUGCGAUAAGUUAUUUCAAUGAGCUUGUCAACAGGAGUCUUAUUCAACCAGCGACGCCUUACCGCCUUAGGGAGGGGGGGCGCUUUGGCGCCUAG
rnacentral:rRNA from 1 species